CUGGAUGACUCGCUUCAGAAGGAUUGAAAAUUUGCCACUUUCCCUCUUUAUUGUGAAGCUUAGCGCAGCACCAUUGCAACCGUGAACAACACUGGCUUGGCCUCGUCAUCCUUCCCAGCUCCAUCCUCUCUUCAAAAAUCACCACAUCCGGUUGCCAAAGAUAAGAUGGCGACGCCCAUAUGGCCAAAACUCGAGGCUUCAAAACAGUAGUCCACAAACCAAUGGGUGAUGUGCCUGCUGCUACGUCCACUAUUUUUAUAGUCUAUGUUUACUU